GAGUUUGAUCCUGGCUCAAGACGAACGCUGGCGGCGUGCCUAACACAUGCAAGUCGAGCGGAGGACAGUGAGUAGCUUGCUAUGAGCUGUUUUAGCGGCGGACGGGUGAGUAACGCGUGAGCAACCUUUCCCAGACGAGGGGAAUAACACACCGAAAGGUGUACUAAUACCGCAUAAGACCACGGGAUCACAUGGUUCUGGGGUAAAAAGAUUUAUCGGUUUGGGGUGGGCUCGCGUCCGAUUAGGUAGUUGGGUGAGG
rnacentral:rRNA from 1 species